rnacentral:tRNA from 1 species
UCCCUGGUGGCUGAGACGGUAAAGCAUCUGCCUAUAAUGCGGGAGACCUGGGUUUGAUCCCUGGAUUGGGAA